rnacentral:rRNA from 1 species
CAGCAGCCGCGGUAAUACGGAGGGGGCUAGCGUUGUUCGGAAUUACUGGGCGUAAAGCGCACGUAGGCGGCUUUGUAAGUUAGAGGUGAAAGCCUGGGGCUCAACUCCAGAAUUGCCUUUAAGACUGCAUCGCUUGAACGUCGGAGAGGUGAGUGGAAUUCCGAGUGUAGAGGUGAAAUUCGUAGAUAUUCGGAAGAACACCAGUGGCGAAGGCGGCUCACUGGACGACUGUUGACGCUGAGGUGCGAAAGCGUGGGGAGCAAACAGGAUUAGAUACCCCCGUAGUCCCUGUCUCUUAUAA